GAGGAUAGAUCCAAAGGCUUCUCUCAAAAACAUUCGCAGCGGCCGCCGAAGAGCUUUCGCUCAAGGCUUGAGAGCUUCUGCCGCGGCUUUCCUUCUUUGGAUGCACCGC
rnacentral:sRNA from 1 species